AUUGAACGCUGGCGGCAGGCCUAACACAUGCAAGUCGAACGGUAACAGGAAACAGCUUGCUGUUUCGCUGACGAGUGGCGGACGGGUGAGUAAUGUCUGGGAAACUGCCUGAUGGAGGGGGAUAACUACUGGAAACGGUAGCUAAUACCGCAUAACGUCGCAAGACCAAAGAGGGGGACCUUCGGGCCUCUUGCCAUCAGAUGUGCCCAGAUGGGAUUAGCUAGUAGGUGGGGUAACGGCUCACCUAGGCGACGAUCCCUAGCUGGUCUGAGAGGAUGACCAGCCACACUGGAACUGAGACACGGUCCAGACUCCUACGGGAGGCAGCAGUGGGGAAUAUUGCACAAUAGGCGCAAGCCUGAUGCAGCCAUGCCGCGUGUAUGAAGAAGGCCUUCGGGUUGUAAAGUACUUUCAGCGGGGAGGAAGGGAGUAAAGUUAAUACCUUUGCUCAUUGACGUUACCCGCAGAAGAAGCACCGGCUAACUCCGUG
rnacentral:rRNA from 1 species